AAAAACGUUUCGUUUUGUUUCUUUGUUUGUCACAUUGACACAAGUGCAGGGUCUUUUAAAUUAUAUAACUUUUAACUAAGAUAAAUUUUUGAAAGGUUAGUCAUUAGGUUGUAGAUGAAUUGCAUUACAGACAAAAUAUGACCUAUGCAGAAGAUUGAUAACUGAUAACUGUUGGCUGAGUUCAUAUUUAUUAUUAUUUUUUUUAGAAGUUUCUUCUAAAUUGGUAUACAAUUGGACAGAGAAGAUCCAAUAAUAUCGUUUUACCCUUCACCGAAGACUGCCAUCUAGCCAAACUGCUUCCUACCCCCCCUGACGGGAAAAGAAAGAAAAUUAUGUUAUAGGGAAAGAACGAGUGAGCAGAAAGAGUUCGAGAGGAGAGCAAGAGCUAAAGACAAGGAUAUUGUGAAACUGUGUUAAUGAUCAAGUGAAAAAGAAAAACCAAAAAAGGACGAGAGAGAGCAAAAAAAAAGAAAGAGAGUGAGAGAGAGAGAGAGAGAGAGAGAGGAGGAGGAGAAGAGUACGAAAAAGAAGAAAAAAAGGAAGGAUAACCAAAGGGAAUUUGAGCAAUUAUAUGUGAGAAAAAGAUUAGGUAGCAUUAUUUGAAAAUGGCUAAAAUUCUUGCCCUGAACAAACAACUAUCAAGAGCGUCAUUGAGAAUCUAGUUCUUUCUCAUAGGGUUGAUCACGUUUCAACGGUUAAGUAAGUUGUUUUCACUUUUAACUUUUUUAAUAGUGCUUAUUACCUUUUCCGUUGAACUCUAAAAAUUUUAAUAAAACUUUUGAAAAUGUUAAAUUUUUCUCUUAGUCUUUUUUAAGACUAAGGAAGAAAGCUAAGGAUGUAGAAAAGUGCAGAGAAAAAGGAAAUCAUUCGCAUGUGUAAAUGAUAGAUUUCUUGGACCAACGACAAAUUAAUGGCCAAUAAAAGUUGUUCUAUUAAUCCUUUAAGAGGAUUAACGAAUGUAGACUAUCCCAGACAAGCUCUGCUAUAUAUUAUGAACUAGAAAGUAUUAUUUUUUAUAAAAAAGAUAUUUAGAAUUCAUGAAAGCUAGAAAAGUGUUAAAAUAAUUUUGUCUAUAAAUCAAUAAGUCAUUCAAGUUGUAUCAUAAGAAUCUCAUUGACCAACGUUAAUAAAUAUUUCACAAUAGUCAAUUUUUACAGAUUCUUUUCAUCAUGUCGAACAAUUCGACAAUUCCAACUCGAAUUGAUAAUAGAUUAACUGAAGUUGUUGUUCAAGCAAUUCUAUUCUGUUUUAUUGUUUUUGCAAACUUCUUUCUUGUUACUUUACUAUUACUGCAAAAAAGAAAAACGAGCAGAAUUCACGUCCUAAUCCUCCAUUUAUGCUUGGCCGACCUGCUCGUAGCAAUUUUUCAGGUUGGACCGCAAUUGAUCGAGCACUGUCUGCAGUACGCGAGCCAAUACGAUGAGAGCAUAUUAUUAUUUUACGGUUCUAAUGGUUGCUGUAAAUUCGUUAAAUACAUGACAACACUAUCAAUGUUUCUAAGCUCAUUUAUUUUGGUUACUAUCGGAUAUGACCGUUAUAUGGCUUUAUGUCGACCCUUAAAAAAGCUAUCUUCUGCCGAAAAUCGGUUUAAGAUGAUAAUUUUACCGUGGAUUCCGGCUGGACUCUUAUCUUUACCGCAACUGUUUAUCUGGUCUACGGAUCCUGACAUAAAAAACACGUGCAAAGCAAACUUUGGGGGAAAUCAUGUUGCAAAUAGAAAUGUGGCUAUAUAUACUUGCUUAUUUUUUGUUACAAUUUAUGUCAUUCCAUUUUUCACUUUUGUCUACUUUUAUGGAAGAAUCGGAUAUACAAUCUGGAAGAAUGAUCCUCAAAAAUUGGCUUGCGGUACAGUUGUAUACAAGUUUAACGGAACGGGUCAUAUAUCAGUGAUAACCAAGGGCCGAGUAAAUUGCAGUUUGUGCGAUUCCGUUCAGGAAGUUCGUAAAAACAGCAAUUUAGCUAUGUCUAAAGCGAAGUUGAAGACGAUUAAAUUAGCAAUUGUCGUCUGCCUGACCUAUUUGGUGUGUUGGGGUCCAUUUUUUGCAACACAUCUAAUUUGGAUUAUCGCUCCGAAAUGGGAGAUAAUUGGUGAAAAAGCUUUCAUUGUGUGCGUAUUAUUGGGAAAUUUCAACGCUUGCGUAAAUCCAUGGAUAUAUGUGCUUUUCAGUAGUAAAAUGCUGAAAAAAUUUUGCCCAUGUUGCGAGAAUUCUGUAAGAAAUCAACAGAAAUACCCAACAACUCAUCAAACUCGCUAUAGAAAUUGUGCUAACUCCUCUCAAACAGCAACGACUAAACUGUCAUACGCCAAUUACCAUUAUUCAAAUGCCACCAACAAAUUUGAUGGUACUCUUUGUAAAAAUUGCGCAAAGAUUAUCAGGGACGGUAAAUAUCAAAAUACCGAUUUACACAAGUAUUCAAAAGAAUUACGAAAGAUUAUGGAAGAGUCUAGCGAAAAUAGCUCUAGUCGUGCAACGUCAAGGAGUCAUAACAGAUUACCAGCUUCUUCGGGAAAAGAAGUGGAUGAAAGUUGUUUAUAGACUUUAAAGUUUAAUUGCUAGCAGAGAGUUUUCUUUGAUAUGAAAAUCCUCUUUCUAAAAGUAUUUUUAUUUUAUCAUGAAGGAUUUUAUUAUAUCGUUUAAUUUGGCUUGUUUGAGCUAUUUUAAAAAAGACAUAGCUAUACAAUAUAACAGUUUUUAACUAUUAUUCAACUUAAUUGUGUAGC
rnacentral:misc_RNA from 1 species